GUAGACUCCUACGGGAGGCAGCAGUGGGGAAUAUUGCACAAUGGGCGCAAGCCUAUGAGCCAUGCGCGUGUGUGAAGAAGGCCUUCGGGUUGUAAAGCACUUUCAGUCGUGAGGAAGGUGUGUAGUUAAUAGCUGCAUUAUUUGACGUUAGCGACAGAAGAAGCACCGGCUAACUCCGUGCCAGCAGCCGCGGUAAUACGGAGGGUGCGAGCGUUAAUCGGAAUUACUGGGCGUAAAGCGCAUGCAGGUGGCUUGUUAAGUCAGAUGUGAAAGCCCGGGGCUCAACCUCGGAAUUGCAUUUGAAACUGGCAGACUAGAGUACUGUAGAGGGGGUAGAAUUUCAGGUGUAGCGGUGAAAUGCGUAGAGAUCUGAAGGAAUACCGGUGGCGAAGGCGGCCCCCUGGACAGAUACUGACACUCAGAUGCGAAAGCGUGGGGAGCAAACAGGAUUAGAUACCCUGGUAG
rnacentral:rRNA from 1 species